rnacentral:rRNA from 1 species
AGAGUUUGAUCAUGGCUCAGGACAAACGCUGGCGGCGUGCAUAACACAUGCAAGUCGAACGAGUGGGGAGACCCACGAGUGGCGGACGGGUGAGGAACACGUGGGGACCUGCCUUUUGCUGGGGAAUACCCGAGGGAAACCUCGGCUAAUGCCGCAUGUGCUCAGAGAUGAGGAAAGCGCUUCGGCGCGGCAAAAGAGGG